GAGGAAUGUAUAGCAAUAGCUACUUGCAUCAUAGUUAAUAUGAUGCAAGCUCGACUAAGUUGAAUAAAAUUCUAGGUAGAAUUAUGAUAAUGACAUUGUCUGCCUAUGUGUCUUGACCAAAUUACGUGCCAGCAGUCGCGGUAAUACGUAGAAGACUAGUGUUAUUCAUGUUUAAUCGGUUUAAAGGGUACCUAGACGGUGAAUCAAGCUUUGGUGUAAAUAAUAAAAACCAUAUUGUAUAAGAUCUUAUUUGAGAUACAUAUUUACAUAUGAUAAGGACUAAUUUACUAGAGUUACUUACGAGGGGGUAUUAAAGUACUGCUGGUGUAGAGAUGAAAUUCUGUCAUACCUCUUUUCGAAAGAAAAAUCAUGGCACAGGUAUAGGCGAAGGCAUCCCCUUAUGGGCUAACUGACGUUGAGGGACGAAGGCUUCAUGUAACAAACAGGAUUAGAUACCCUAGUAGUUGAAAGCAGAAAAUGAUGAAUGUCAUAGAUUAGAUAUAUAAGUUUAUUCUAUAAAUGAAAGUGUAAGCAUUCCNCCUCAUGAGUAAUUUGGCAACAUUGGAAUUGAAAUCAUUAGACCGUUUCUGAAACCAGUAGUGAAGUAUGUUGUUUAAUUUGAUACUCCGCAAAAAACCUUACCACAAUUUGAAUAUUUAUAUCUUUUAUUGUUUUCAUCUUAAUUUUAUUAUGAUUUUAUUUUUAUUUUCUAAAAAAAGAAAAAAUUAAGAAUAAGGCAAUAAGAUACAUUUACAAGCGUUGCACGGCUGUCUUCAGUUAAUGUCGUGAGACUUUGGUUAGUUCCAUUAAAUUAACGUAAACCCUUACUUUAUUUUUUAUAUAGAGUAGUUCCCCACUAUAUUGGAUAUGAU
rnacentral:rRNA from 1 species